rnacentral:tRNA from 1 species
GGGGAUUUAGCUCAGUGGGAUAAGCGCCUGCCUGGCAAGCACGAGGUUGUGUGUUCAAUCCCCG